rnacentral:rRNA from 1 species
CCUUUAGAGUUUGAUCCUGGCUCAGGAUGAACGCUGGCGGCGUGCCUAAUACAUGCAAGUCGAGCGAAUGGAUUAAGAGCUUGCUCUUAUGAAGUUAGCGGCGGACGGGUGAGUAACACGUGGGUAACCUGCCCAUAAGACUGGGAUAACUCCGGGAAACCGGGGCUAAUACCGGAUAACAUUUUGAACCGCAUGGUUCGAAAUUGAAAGGCGGCUUCGGCUGUCACUUAUGGAUGGACCCGCGUCGCAUUAGCUAGUUGGUGAGGUAACGGCUCACCAAGGCAACGAUGCGUAGCCGACCUGAGAGGGUGAUCGGCCACACUGGGACUGAGACACGGCCCAGACUCCUACGGGAGGCAGCAGUAGGGAAUCUUCCGCAAUGGACGAAAGUCUGACGGAGCAACGCCGCGUGAGUGAUGAAGGCUUUCGGGUCGUAAAACUCUGUUGUUAGGGAAGAACAAGUGCUAGUUGAAUAAGCUGGCACCUGACGU